rnacentral:rRNA from 1 species
AGCGAACGCUGGCGGCAGGCUUAACACAUGCAAGUCGAACGGGCAUCUUCGGAUGUCAGUGGCAGACGGGUGAGUAACACGGGGGAACGUACCCUUCGGUUCGGAAUAACUCAGGGAAACUUGAGCUAAUACCGGAUACGCCCUUUUGGGGAAAGGUUUACUGCCGAAGGAUCGGCCCGCGUCUGAUUAGCUUGUUGGUGGGGUAACGGCCUACCAAGGCGACGAUCAGUAGCUGGUCUGAGAGGAUGAUCAGCCACACUGGGACUGAGACACGGCCCAGACUCCUACGGGAGGCAGCAGUGGGGAAUAUUGGACAAUGGGCGCAAGCCUGAUCCAGCCAUGCCGCGUGAGUGAUGAAGGCCUUAGGGUUGUAAAGCUCUUUUGUCCGGGACGAUAAUGACGGUACCGGAAGAAUAAGCCCCGGCUAACUUCGUG